GGGAUCUUGAGGGACAGGGGGAUCUUGGGGUGCCCAUCUCCGAUUGAAAGUUAAUUGUCAUCCCAUGGGUGCAAGAAGGGGCAGAGUUAAGGAUGUCUGUGGUGGGGUUAAGGGUGCAGAGGAGCAGGUUAAGGACACCCAUGGAGGGACAGAGUUAAGGACACACAGAGGGUCACAGUUAAGGUUGUUGGCUGUCUCCCAGACUGGACAGGCCAUGUCGCUGUUCUGUACCCACAACCCUGUACCAGCCCCAUCUCCCUGUGUCUCUCCCCAGAGUGGGCACUGGAGGAGCCUCCCUUGCUGAGGCUGGUGUCUCUGCAAAAUACCGACGUUUCGUGGAACCUGGACCCCCGGCUGGCUGCUGUGCUGGGGGUGAGCGAGACCGACGCCAGGGGGAGGAUACCCACUGAGGACGUGACCUUCAGCAUCUGGGCCACAGUGCUGGCCGUGGUCCGGCUGCACAGCCGGGCCGUGGGGCAGCGCGAUGAGUCGAGCUGCUGGAGGCCAAGGCUGUGGGCUGGGUGUGGGACUGAGCAGGGGCCCGGCUGAGCGAGUGCCUGGAAGCCGCCAACGCAACUGCUGGGCUGCAGCGUUGGCCCUGCCAUCUUCAGGCUCUGAGCCCCCCCCGGGAUCCCUGCACUCGCUCCACAAACUGCCCUGGGUGUCCACCUGGGAGCCCGAGGGCCAGUAGGGGACACUGGGUGUAGACCCACCUGGCCGGCCUGUGCCCAGCCCAGAGCAAAGCCCCAGCUGGGAUCCCACCACUGCCACCAAUUCGGAUGCAUCUGCCUCCCGCUGGCUGAAGAGGAGCAAAGGCUGCCCCCCGGCUACACCCCACUCUGACCCACUGUUCAGUAACCCCCACGCUGCUUACAGCCACCGCCUCCUCUCCGCAUUGUGGGGGAGUCCUCAGCAUCACCUGCAUCAAUGUUGCACAUUUCUUCGCUUUUUACAAAUGACUGAGGGGUCCCUCUGUAAACAGCCCCCAGCCCCCCACCCCAGAGGUGGCUGCACUGACCUCACCCUGCAUGAGCCGUCCAGUGUCAACCUAGUCCCAUCAACACGGAGUUCAGCUAUAGGACAGCCAGGCAGACCAACAGGAUCUUUGCUUGUCCAAACACGACCUCAUUUUGUCGUAAUGGCAGUUUUCUCUUCGCUAGACAAUCCUGAACGCAAAGACGAGCACAGUGAUUCGCUUCAUUCUUCGUUUCCUCUCUGCCUAGGUCCAGACUAGAGCUGGUCAGACAUUUUCCAGCUGAACAGUGCUGUGUUGGCAAAUGCAAUUCCAUGGUGAAGGCUGAAAGGUGGAAUCAGGCAGCAGAUGGAGGAAGUUUGCCCCGUGCAGCGUGUUGUGAAUCCGUCCCCAUUCACCACCUGCUGAAUUCUCUACCACAGGAAGAAAUGCUUAAAAACCUGACCGUCCAUCUUGACGGUUAAUGCUCACAUUGUGUCCAUCCUGGGUAGCACCGGGCCCUUCUCAGGACAUCCUGGGACUCAAGCAAACGAUGAAAGACAUCAGCUGGUUAAUUCCCGGGAAAGAAAGUGCUAUUUUUAUCAAGAAACUGCAGAAACAUAAUGAAGAAGCAGACAGUUUUCCCACUUCAUGUUAACCAGCACUGACCCCCCUUUGAACAGCUUUCGCCAUAUGACUCUGUGCUGGGUCGUGUCCCUAUUUCAGCCUUUCUGUGUCUGAGAAGGCAACUCAACAAAUUCAAUUUACUGCCACAUUGUGCAGCGACUCCAGGGAAGGAUUAAGAUACCAGGUAAUUGAUUAAUUGCCUUAAGCCCUGAAGGAAUGCUGUCCUGGGACUGAGAUUUCCCCAAAGGCCAGACGGAAUUCCAAGAUCUUAAUUCUCACUUCCUGCUAUGAAUAGUGGAACUUCAAUACCAGCAAUGACAUCUUGGCCCCAUUGAAAUCAAAGGGCGUUUUAUCUUCGACUUCAACGGGCACAGUAUUUUAGCCCAUAUUACUAGGCUUUUGCAAAUUAAACUCUGUGGCUGGGAUUUUGGAAGAAGUGGCUGAGGCACCCAGUUCCAGGGGAUUUGUCCUCUUUAAAAAUCCCAACCUAUUAUUCUGUACCAAACCCAAUGAAGUCAAAGGAAAGGCUCUUUCAGAGAGAGCUGGGGAACCAGCUCCCUUUGAAAACUCCAGCCAGAGUGAGUCUUUCCAGUGGUCUUUAGAUUAAACUCCAUUGGUAGAAGCUGAUUGCCUAGUUCCCUUCGGCGCCUUUGGAUAUCCCAGCUUCCAGCUGACUCCAGUGGACUUUGAAGCAGUCCCAGUCUGUAUACCUGAGCCUUUAGAUAGAUAGAAAAUCCACACACAGAAUAACAAAAUAAAAUCAUACGACCGUCUGUA